UAUUUUCCUUUUUUUCCCUCCGCCGCGGUAAUACGUAUGGAGCAAGCGUUAUCCGGAUUUACUGGGUGUAAAGGGUGCGUAGGUGGCAGUGCAAGUCAGAUGUGAAAGGCCGGGGCUCAACCCCGGAGCUGCAUUUGAAACUGCUCGGCUAGAGUACAGGAGAGGCAGGCGGAAUUCCUAGUGUAGCGGUGAAAUGCGUAGAUAUUAGGAGGAACACCAGUGGCGAAGGCGGCCUGCUGGACUGUUACUGACACUGAGGCACGAAAGCGUGGGGAGCAAACAGG
rnacentral:rRNA from 1 species